CUAGUCUUGAACUCCUGAUCUCGUGAUCCGCCCACCUCGGCCUCCAAAGUGCUGGGAUUACAAGCGUGAGCCACCGCCCCCGGCCUUCUGUGGACUUCUAUAUUAGAGCGACGGAGUCUUGUUUUGUUGUCAGGAGUGGUCUGGAACUCCUGGGCUCAAGUGAUCCUCUUGCCUCAGCCUCCCAAAGCACUGGGAUUACAGAUGGUUUUUAUACUCCAGGACAAUGCAAUGGGUGGAAGUGAUGGCUUUCUUUUGUCAAAUGGGAAAAGGUGAUUGUGAAAAGGGGACCAAGGGGAG